rnacentral:rRNA from 1 species
GAAACGACUGCUAAGACUGGAUAGGAAACAAAAAGGCAUCUUUUUGUUUUUAAAAGACCUUCUUACGAAGGUAUGCUUAAAGAGGGGCUUGCGCCACAUUAGUUAGUUGGUAGGGUAAAAGCCUACCAAGACGAUGAUGUGUAGCUGGACUGAGAGGUUGAACAGCCACAUUGGGACUGAGACACGGCCCAAACUCCUACGGGAGGCAGCAGUAGGGAAUUUUCGGCAAUGGAGGAAACUCUGACCGAGCAACGCCGCGUGAACGAUGAAGUAUUUCGGUAUGUAAAGUUCUUUUAUUGAAGAAGAAAAAGUAGUGGAAAAACUAUAUUGACGUUAUUCAAUGAAUAAGCCCCGGCUAACUAUGUGCCAGCAGCCGCGGUAAGACAUAGGGGGCGAGCGUUAUCCGGAAUUAUUGGGCGUAAAGGGUGCGUAGGCUGUUAGAUAAGUCUAUAAUUUAAUUUCAGUGCUUAACGCUGUCUUGUUAUAGAAACUGUCUUGACUAGAGUGAGAUAGAGGCAAGCGGAAUUCCAUGUGUAGCGGUAAAAUGUGUAAAUAUAUGGAGGAACACCAGAAGCGUAGGCGGCUUGCUGGGUCUUUACUGACGCUGAGGCACGAAAGCGUGGGUAGCAAACAGGAUUAGAUACCCUGGUAGUCCACGCCGUAAACGAUGAGUACUAAGUGUCGGGGUAAAACUCGGUACUGAAGUUAACACAUUAAGUACUCCGCCUGAGUAGUACGUACGCAAGUAUGAAACUUAAAGGAAUUGACGGGACUCCGCACAAGCGGUGGAUCAUGUUGUUUAAUUCGAAGAUACACGAAAAAUCUUACCAGGUCUUGACAUACUCUGCAAAGCUAUAGAAAUAUAGUGGAGGUUAUCAGGGAUACAGGUGGUGCAUGGUUGUCGUCAGUUCGUGUCGUGAGAUGUUAGGUUAAGUCCUAAAACGAGCGCAACCCUUGUCGUUAAUUGCCAGCACGUAAUGGUGGGGACUUUAGCGAGACUGCCAAUUAAACAUUGGAGGAAGGUGAGGAUUACGUCAAAUCAUCAUGCCCCUUAUGAUCUGGGCUACAAACGUGAUACAAUGGCUGUGACAAAGAGUAGCUGAAACGCGAGUUUUUAGCCAAUCUCAAAAAAGCAGUCUCAGUUCGGAUUGAAGUCUGUAACUCGACUUCAUGAAGUUGGAAUCGCUAGUAAUCGCGAAUCAGCAUGUCGCGGUGAAUACGUUCUCGGGGUUUGUACACACCGCCCGUCAAACCACGAAAGUUAGCAAUACCCGAAAGCAGUAGCUUAACUUCGCAAGAAGAGGGAACUGUCUAAGGUAGGGUUGAUGAUAGGGGUUAAGUCGUAACAAGGUAUCCCUACCGGAAGGUGGGGAUGGAUCACCUCCUUUCUAAGGACUAUAUAUACUAAAAUCAUC